rnacentral:rRNA from 1 species
GAUGAACGCUGGCGGUAUGCUUAACACAUGCAAGUCGAACGGACUCUUCGGAGUUAGUGGCGGACGGGUGAGUAACGCGUGAGAAUCUGGCUUUAGGUUCGGGACAACCACUGGAAACGGUGGCUAAUACCGGAUGUGCCGAGAGGUAAAAGAGAAAUUGCCUGAAGAUGAGCUCGCGUCUGAUUAGCUAGUUGGUGAGGUAAAGGCUCACCAAGGCAGCGAUCAGUAGCUGGUCUGAGAGGAUGACCAGCCACACUGGGACUGAGACACGGCCCAGACUCCUACGGGAGGAAGCAGUGGGGAAUUUUCCGCAAUGGGCGAAAGCCUGACGGAGCAAUACCGAGUGAGGGAAGAAGGCUCUUGGGUUGUAAACCUCUUUUCUUAGGGAAGAACAAAAUGACGGUACCUAAGGAAUCAGCAUCGGCUAACUCCGUG